AGAGUUUGAUCCUGGCUCAGGACGAACGCUGGCGGCGUGCCUAAUACAUGCAAGUAGAACGCUGAAGAGAGGAGCUUGCUCUUCUUGGAUGAGUUGCGAACGGGUGAGUAACGCGUAGGUAACCUGCCUUGUAGCGGGGGAUAACUAUUGGAAACGAUAGCUAAUACCGCAUAACAAUGGAUGACCCAUGUCAUUUAUUUGAAAGGGGCAAAUGCUCCACUACAAGAUGGACCUGCGUUGUAUUAGCUAGUAGGUGAGGUAACGGCUCACCUAGGCGACGAUACAUAGCCGACCUGAGAGGGUGAUCGGCCACACUGGGACUGAGACACGGCCCAGACUCCUACGGGAGGCAGCAGUAGGGAAUCUUCGGCAAUGGGGGCAACCCUGACCGAGCAACGCCGCGUGAGUGAAGAAGGUUUUCGGAUCGUAAAGCUCUGUUGUAAGUCAAGAACGAGUGUGAGAGUGGAAAGUUCACACUGUGACGGUAGCUUACCAGAAAGGGACGGCUAACUACGUGCCAGCAGCCGCGGUAAUACGUAGGUCCCGAGCGUUGUCCGGAUUUAUUGGGCGUAAAGCGAGCGCAGGCGGUUUGAUAAGUCUGAAGUUAAAGGCUGUGGCUCAACCAUAGUUCGCUUUGGAAACUGUCAAACUUGAGUGCAGAAGGGGAGAGUGGAAUUCCAUGUGUAGCGGUGAAAUGCGUAGAUAUAUGGAGGAACACCGGUGGCGAAAGCGGCUCUCUGGUCUGUAACUGACGCUGAGGCUCGAAAGCGUGGGGAGCGAACAGGAUUAGAUACCCUGGUAGUCCACGCCGUAAACGAUGAGUGCUAGGUGUUGGAUCCUUUCCGGGAUUCAGUGCCGCAGCUAACGCAUUAAGCACUCCGCCUGGGGAGUACGACCGCAAGGUUGAAACUCAAAGGAAUUGACGGGGGCCCGCACAAGCGGUGGAGCAUGUGGUUUAAUUCGAAGCAACGCGAAGAACCUUACCAGGUCUUGACAUCCCGAUGCUAUUUCUAGAGAUAGAAAGUUACUUCGGUACAUCGGUGACAGGUGGUGCAUGGUUGUCGUCAGCUCGUGUCGUGAGAUGUUGGGUUAAGUCCCGCAACGAGCGCAACCCCUAUUGUUAGUUGCCAUCAUUCAGUUGGGCACUCUAGCGAGACUGCCGGUAAUAAACCGGAGGAAGGUGGGGAUGACGUCAAAUCAUCAUGCCCCUUAUGGCCUGGGCUACACACGUGCUACAAUGGUUGGUACAACGAGUUGCGAGUCGGUGACGGCAAGCUAAUCUCUUAAAGCCAAUCUCAGUUCGGAUUGUAGGCUGCAACUCGCCUACAUGAAGUCGGAAUCGCUAGUAAUCGCGGAUCAGCACGCCGCGGUGAAUACGUUCCCGGGCCUUGUACACACCGCCCGUCACACCACGAGAGUUUGUAACACCCGAAGUCGGUGAGGUAACCUUUUGGAGCCAGCCGCCUAAGGUGGGAUAGAUGAUUGGGGUGAAGUCGUAACAAGGUA
rnacentral:rRNA from 1 species